UACGGAGGGUGCGAGCGUUGUCCGGAAUCAUUGGGCGUAAAGGGCGCGUAGGUGGCCCGGUCAGUUCGUGGUGAAAGCGCGGGGCUCAACCCUGCGUCGGCCAUGAAUACUGCCGCGGCUGGAGCACUGUAGAGGCAGGCGGAAUUCCGGGUGUAGCGGUGGAAUGCGUAGAGAUCCGGAAGAACACCGGUGGCGAAGGCGGCCUGCUGGGCGAGUUGCUGACACUGAGGCGCGACAGCGUGGGGAGCAACAGG
rnacentral:rRNA from 1 species